CCUACGGGAGGCAGCAGUGAGGAAUAUUGGUCAAUGGGCUUACGCCUGAACCAGCCAAGUCGCGUGAGGGAAGACUGCCCUAUGGGUUGUAAACCUCUUUUGUCAGGGAGCAACGCCGGCUACGUGUAGCCGGACUGAGAGUACCUGAAGAAAAAGCAUCGGCUAACUCCGUGACAGCAGCCGCGGUAAUACGGAGGAUGCGAGCGUUAUCCGGAUUUAUUGGGUUAAAAGGGUGCGUAGGCGGAAUGCCAAGUCAGCGGUAAAAUCGCGGGGCUCAACCUCGCUCCGCCGUUGAAACUGGCGUUCUUGAGUGGGCGAGAAGUAUGCGGAAUGCGUGGUGUAGCGGUGAAAUGCAUAGAUAUCACGCAGAACUCCGAUUGCGAAGGCAGCAUACCGGCGCCCAACUGACGCUGAAGCACGAAAGCGUGGGUAUCGAACAGGAUUAGAUACCCUGGUAGUC
rnacentral:rRNA from 1 species